UUUCCGUAAGUGAACCUGCGGAAGGAUCAUUAUUGUAUAACCGAGGUGCGAGGGCUGUCGCUGACCCGAAAGGUCGUGCACGCCCGAGUGCCCUCACACACAUCCAUCUCACCCCUAUGUGCACCACCGCGUGGGUCCCCCUUUGGCUUGUUCGGAGGGGGGCUUACGUUUUCACACAAACUUUGUAUGCAGUGUAGAAUGUAUUUUUUGUUUUUGCGAUCACGCAAUCAAUACAACUUUCAACAACGGAUCUCUUGGCUCAC
rnacentral:misc_RNA from 1 species